UGCGAACGAAUUUAGUUCCUCCUUAGCCCGCCCCUCCGAAGCCCACCAAACGCCCACGUAGCAGGCUAAGAGCUAUCUUAAGGGGGUACAGCCCCUUUAAAAAAGGAUACAACCUUCGCUAGAGGAUAACUCCACCCCCCCCCCCCAACCAGUGGGCCCUAAAGCAGCCACCCACAAAGAGUGCGUCAAAGCUCAUUAAGCAAAAAUCCAAAGACUAUACGACUCCCUACACCCUCAGCAGGCCAACCUAUAACAAUAGAUGAAUCAAUGCUAGAACGAGUAACCGAGGCACUACGCCUCCUCAAGCGCUAACCUAGACACCAUUAACAGUGCAACCACAAUACCAAGCCCGCCCCGACCAAACAUUGAACACACCCUGUUAACCCAACCCAGGAGCGCACACCUAGGACGAUUAAAAUCUGCAAAAGGAACUCGGCAAACCCAAGGCCCGACUGUUUACCAAAAACAUAGCCUUCAGCCAAACAAGUAUUGAAGGUGAUGCCUGCCCAGUGACACCACGUUCAACGGCCGCG
rnacentral:rRNA from 1 species